rnacentral:rRNA from 1 species
GAAUAUUGGACAAUGGGCGCAAGCCUGAUCCAGCCAUGCCGCGUGUGUGAAGAAGGCCUUCGGGUUGUAAAGCACUUUUGUACGGGAAGAAAUCUCUUGGGUUAAUACCCUGGGAGGAUGACGGUACCGUAAGCAUAAGCACCGGCCAACUUCGUGCCAGCAGCCGGGGUAAUACGAAGGGUGCAAGCGUUACUCGGAAUUACUGGGCGAAAAGCGUGCGUAGGUGGUUCGGUAAGUCUGCCGUGAAAGCCCCGGGCUCAACCUGGGAAUUGCGGUGGAUAAUGGCGGACUAGAGUGCGGUAGAGGGUGGUGGAAUUCCCGGUGGAGCAGUGAAAUGCGUAGAGAUCGGGAGGAACAUCUGUGGCGAAGGCGGCCACCUGGACCAGCACUUACACUGAGGCACGAAAGCGUGGGGAGCAAACAGG